rnacentral:rRNA from 1 species
GAUGAACGCUGGCGGCGUGCCUAAUACAUGCAAGUCGAGCGAACGGACGAGAAGCUUGCUUCUCUGAUGUUAGCGGCGGACGGGUGAGUAACACGUGGAUAACCUACCUAUAAGACUGGGAUAACUUCGGGAAACCGGCGCUAAUACCGGAUGAUAUUUUGAACCGCAUGGUUCAAAAGUGAAAGACGGUCUUGCUGUCACUUAUAGAUGGAUCCGCGCUGCAUUAGCUAGUUGGUAAGGUAACGGCUUACCAAGGCAACGAUGCAUAGCCGACCUGAGAGGGUGAUCGGCCACACUGGAACUGAGACACGGUCCAGACUCCUACGGGAGGCAGCAGUAGGGAAUCUUCCGCAAUGGGCGAAAGCCUGACGGAGCAACGCCGCGUGAGUGAUGAAGGUCUUCGGAUCGUAAAACUCUGUUAUGAGGGAAGAACAUAUGUGUAAGUAACUGUGCACAUCUUGACGGUACCUAAUCAGAAAGCCACGGCUAACUACGUG